rnacentral:rRNA from 1 species
UACGUAGGGUGCGAGCGUUAAUCGGAAUUACUGGGCGUAAAGGGUGCGCAGGCGGUUCUGCAAGUCAGGCGUGAAAGCCCCGGGCUUAACCUGGGAAUGGCGAUGAAGACUGCAAGGCUUGAAUCUGGCAGAGGGGGGGUAGAAUUCCACGUGUAGCAGUGAAAUGCGUAGAGAUGUGGAGGAACACCGAUGGCGAAGGCAGCCCCCUGGGUCAAGAUUGACGCUCAUGCACGAAAGCGUGGGGAGCAAACAGG